AUGGAGUUACUUCAUAGAUUGGAGCAGUUGAAGUUGCAAACAGAGGAUGCUUGGUAUCACUAUGAAGGAGACAUAGAUGUGAAAGAAGUUUAUCUGCCCGAGGAAGAGGAAAUGAAAGAUUGUGAGCCUGAGUCUUCUCCUCCAAAGAAUAAGAAACCAAAAAGAGUUGGCCCAACUAGUGGAGCACACCAUGAAGAAGAAAUUCUCCCCUUUCAUGACUGGGUGCAUUCCAAUGGUCAAUUGGGCAAUCCAUCUGAUGUUAAUGACAAAGAUUAUGAUGUUGAUGUUAAAAGUAGUGUAGUUUUAUCUGGCAAGAAUAAAAGAAGGCCUAACAAGAAAGAAGGCAGGAUUUGGUAUGAUGAGAAAGAAGAAAAAUGUCAUGAGUAG
rnacentral:rRNA from 1 species